UACGAAGGGUGCAAGCGUUACUCGGAAUUACUGGGCGUAAAGCGUGCGUAGGUGGCGAGUUAAGUCUGAUGUGAAAUCCCCGGGCUCAACCUGGGAAUGGCAUUGGAUACUGGCUCGCUAGAGUGCGGUAGAGGGUGGUGGAAUUCCCGGUGUAGCAGUGAAAUGCGUAGAGAUCGGGAGGAACAUCUGUGGCGAAGGCGGCCACCUGGACCAGCACUGACACUGAGGCACGAAAGCGCGGGGAGCGAACAGG
rnacentral:rRNA from 1 species